CACACCAUAGCCCUUGAUAAGAAGGGGAAUGAGGUUCUCUUUCAACCUGCUAAGAAAUUUUUGCCUGCAAUUCAAAAGGUACGAACAGCAUUGAGAGAGAAAGUCAUGAAAAUACAAGGNNNNNNNNUUUGCAUCUCUGUACAUUUCCGACAGGUUAGAGAAGAGGAUUAUGGAAUUUUAGAGAAGACAGUGAAAUCUGUUCUUGAACAUUAUCCGGAAUUUCACUUAAGCUGGG
rnacentral:misc_RNA from 1 species